rnacentral:rRNA from 1 species
CUGGCCGUAAACGAUGAAUGCUAGGUGUGCGUGUAGAGAUACAUACGUGCCGGAGUUAACGCGAUAAGCAUUCCGCCUGGGGAGUACGGUCGCAAGAUUGAAACUCAAAGGAAUUGACGG